rnacentral:lncRNA from 1 species
UAUUUAUUGUGGCACCGUGUGUGAGGGGGAUAAUUCCUUACUCGCACACACCAAGAACAGACGUGGUUACAUAUUUAAAGACAUAACAUAGACAUAUUUGUUACAUUCCAAAAAAAUGGGCUGGAAUUUUGAGAAAUUACUGACAUGUUGUACCACCUUCUUAAGCACGCGUCCUAAAGAUGUGGUGGGGGUCUCUGAUGGUUGUUGGAUGAAGGCUAAGUCUUUUUUGCUGUGAACAUUCAUCCUUUUCAGGGGGUUGCAUUGUGUCGCAACAGCAACUCUGCCUCGAUAUGUUCAUGGGACCCCCCAUGAAGACCCGGUGCAGGACUGCAUCCGCCUGAUGAGCUGUCAUCGUCGUUGUCCCUCUCCAACUCUCUCCACCACAGUGGGGAUUUUGCAAAGCUGAAGGCUUUCCACUUGGUGCCUGUGGGAUUUUGGGCCAUCUGGAACAACAGCCUUGCUGACCUUGUUCCAGAGCCGAAUGGGGCAUUGAGAAAGGCCCGGUCAGCACAGCCACUUGGAGGCACGGUGCUCAGCAUCAGUGGACCUGCUCUGCUGUCUUUCUUGUGCUGGGGGCCCCAGAAGUGGAUGCAGUGCGGCAGGUGGAGUCUUGUGAGAGCAGAGUAGAGGAGCAGAAUCACUUCCCCUGACCUGCUAAUCACGUUUGUCUUAAUGCAGCACAGGAAACGCUUGGCCUUGGGGGCUGCAAGUGCACGGUGCCGGCUCAUGUUGAGCCUUUCAUCAGCCAACACCCGCAGGACACUUUCCUCUUCACAGUCCUCCAGCCACUCAUCCCCAAGCCUAUAGCGCUGCAUGGGCUUGUUGUGGCCAAAGUGCAGGACCCGCCACUUGGCCUUGUUGACCUCUCCAGUUAAUCAGGAGGGCUGGUAGAUGGCCGAGAGCGGCUUGGCAGUCACCUCUGCCAGCUCCCUCAGGAGUCUGUGGAGAGGCUCUUCCUGUCCCCCGUGCUGUGCGCUGUCUUCCUGCACUGCUGGCUCCUGACAUUUUUCACAUGGUGCUGCAUGAGGAUCGUCAUAAGUCUCUCCAUUAAGGUUAUGUAGGCGUUCAUCUGGCAGAGCAGGUCGAGAGCAUUUAGGUUGUCCGUUUCCUCUGUUCCUAAGGAAGCUGGGUCCGCUUGUCCCGUUCUCUGAAAGUGAGAGAGCAUGGGCACAGUGAAAGGGAGGCAGGCUUGUUUUGCAGAGUAUCACCCUGCAGGGCUCCGACUGGUGUGGAGCAUUUCCAGCCUCGCAAGACUGCUCAGGGCAGCCCGUGGGGCUCAC